rnacentral:rRNA from 1 species
UGUAAGCGUAUACCAAAGUUGUUGCAGUUAAAACGCUCGUAGUCGGAAUUUGGCAGUUCCGGAAGUGUGCACGUCGUGUGCGCACUUUGCGGGGACUGCUUUUGUGGUCUUGCGUAGGAUGAGGCACUUUCAUUAGUGAACGUCCUCACGCAACCACUCUUUACUGUGAGAAAAUCAGAGUGCUCAAAGCAGGCAUUUGCCGUGAAUGUAUUAGCAUGGAAUAAUAGAAUAGGACUCGGUUCUAUUUUGUUGGUUUGUUGGGACUGAGUAAUGAUUAAGAGGGACAGUUGGGGGCAUUUGUAUUCCGGCGCUAGAGGUGAGAUUCUUAGAUUGCCGGAAGACAAACUGCUGCGAAAGCGUCUGCCAAGGAUGUUUUCAUUGA